CACGUAGGGUGCGAGCGUUGUCCGGAAUUAUCGGGCGUAAAGGGCUCGUAGGCGGUCUGUUGCGUCGGGAGUGAAAACUUACAGCUUAACUGUGAGCGUGCUUUCGAUACGGGCAGACUUGAGGCAUUCAGGGGAGAACGGAAUUCCUGGUGUAGCGGUGAAAUGCGCAGAUAUCAGGAGGAACACCGGUGGCGAAGGCGGGUCUCUGGGCCGAUACUGACGCUGAGGAGCGAAAGCGUGGGGAGCGAACAGG
rnacentral:rRNA from 1 species